UGUGUAUUUGCAGGAUCUCCUCCAUCAGGUGCAUGUACCUCUCUGUCUUUCGAUCUGAACUUGGUGUUUAUUAGGGAUACCUUCUCACCCCGUCUAUUUUCUUUUGGUCAGUUGCCAAGAUUAGAACAUCGAACAAGCUUUGACGAUACAGGCAUCAUAAAUGUCUAGCGUGAUCUAUGCCACAUCAUCCACCGUGAGUGCUGUCAUGUGAAAGGACAUUUCUUUGACCCCGUGGGUUCCCUAGCGACAAGUGAGAAAUUCAAGAAUCUUCAGGAGUGAAACAAUGCUAUGCUAUAAUGUUACUA